GUGGAUGAGGCUCAGUUGGUAGAGUGUUUGCCUAGUGUGCACAAAGCCCUGGGUUAGAUUCCCAGCACUGCA
rnacentral:tRNA from 1 species